rnacentral:rRNA from 1 species
UGCAUAUCAAUAAGCGGAGGAAAAGAAACCAACAGGGAUUGCCUCAGUAGCGGCGAGUGAAGCGGCAAGAGCUCAGAUUUGAAAUCGUGUUUCGGCACGAGUUGUAGAGUGUAGGCUGGAGUCUCUGUGGAGCGCGGUGUCCAAGUCCCUUGGAACAGGGUGCCUGAGAGGGUGAGAGCCCCGUGGGGUGCUGCGCGAAGCUUUGAGGCCCUGCUGACGAGUCGAGUUGUUUGGGAAUGCAGCUCUAAGCGGGUGGUAAAUUCCAUCUAAGGCUAAAUAUUGGCGAGAGACCGAUAGCGAACAAGUACUGUGAAGGAAAGAUGAAAAGCACUUUGAAAAGAGAGUGAAACAGCACGUGAAAUUGUUGAAAGGGAAGGGUAUUGGGCCCGACAUGGGGAGUGCGCACCGCUGUCUCUUGUAGGCGGCGCUCUGGGCGCUCUCUGGGCCAGCAUCGGUUCUUGCUGCGAGAGAAGUGGUGCCGGAAAGUGGCUCUUC